rnacentral:tRNA from 1 species
GCGGGUGGCUCAGAGGUAGAGUGCCUGCCUGGCAUGUGCGAGGCACUGGGUUCGUUUCUCAGCACCGCA